rnacentral:piRNA from 1 species
UGGUUGGCACUUUCUUGAGUGAG